rnacentral:lncRNA from 1 species
AGCAACCACUUUCUUGGAGGAAAGGUUUUGUACAUGUAUAAAUAGAAAACUCCUUCUCAUACCAUAACACAGUAGCAUCCACAAUGUAGUCUUUUAAGAGUUUCAUUUAGAGGGAGAUUUUCUCUCUCAUUAGUUUUAUGUUUUUUAAUAUUAUUUUUACUAUUAGGUUUUAUAUGUAAGUCAAUUGGCCAAAUCAUAUCAUAAAAUUAUGUUUUUAGUAUUUUUUUCGUUGUCGUCUUAUUUAUCGUCUCAUAGUUUGCAACUAAUAGCUUCCGCAUGACGCCCUCUCGAUUUCAAAUCCAACAAUAAUAAGAAGGAGAUGAGAUACUAGACACAGAAUGGAGAUGAGAGAACAACAGACAAGUCAAGGCUUCACAUAAUACGCAUAAUGUUCUGUUGAAUGUCAAGUCCUAUUUAACCAAUUGACAAUUGGGCCUGAAUCUCAAAUAAAACCCUCCAACAUUUCAAUAGGUCCAAUAAUCUCAACUUGAUCAGCCCAAUUCACCACUUCUAACCCAUAUCCCAAUACAAAGUCGACUUGGUUCACAACAUUUACUCUGUUCUAUAAACAUGCAACAUUUUCUUAUGCUAUCUCUAUAUAAGUUUGGUAAGAUUGCUUGUGAGAUUUCACUGGUAUGUUGUUGAUAUGUUGUUGAUGUUGUUUUUGUCAUAUAUCUCUCUAUAAAAACUAUCUGACGUAAUAAAGAAAUCACGUUGUGCAUGUAAGAAGAUAGAGCUUCAAAUUUAUUUUCUUUUAGCCUUUGUCCUUUUAUUGAAAAAAAAAAGAUUAUUCUAUUGUAAGAAGACAAUCUAGAUUUGCUAUUGUUUUUAAUUGUUCUAUCAUUCUUCCUUUCCCACCCUUUGUAAAUUUAUGCAAUUCCUCAAAUUAGUAAAGUUUUGUAUAGGUAUUAAAUUUUUAAUUAUUUUUUGUAAAGCUAUUAUUUAUUGUGCUCCUAUUUCUUAAUUGUAUAUAUGUAUAUGAAUGUUUCUGAUCAAUAGGGCAUGAAGAGGAGUGGAAGUUUGAUUUAGAGGCGG